UACGUAGGGUGCAAGCGUUGUCCGGAAUUAUUGGGCGUAAAGAGCUCGUAGGCGGUCUGUCGCGUCUGCUGUGAAAACUCGGGGCUUAACCUCGGGCCUGCAGUGGGUACGGGCAGACUAGAGUGCGGUAGGGGUCACUGGAACUGACGGUGGAGCGGUGAAAUGCGUAGAUAUCGUCAGGAACGCCAAUGGUGAAGACAGGUGACUGGGCUAGUUCUGACACUGAGGCACGAAAGCGUGGGGAGCGAACGGG
rnacentral:rRNA from 1 species